rnacentral:rRNA from 1 species
UGGGGAAUAUUGGACAAUGGGGGCAACCCUGAUCCAGCAACGCCGCGUGAAUGAAGAAGGUCUUAGGAUUGUAAAGUUCUUUUGCCUGGGAGCAAAGUUCAUUAGUUAAAAGCUGAUGGAUCUGAGAGUACCAGGAGAAUAAGCACCGGCUAACUACGUGCCAGCAGCCGCGGUAAUACGUAGGGUGCGAGCGUUAAUCGGAAUUACUGGGCGUAAAGAGUGCGUAGGCGGAUAUAUAAGUUAGAUGUGAAAUACCUGGGCUUAACCUGGGAGGUGCAUUUAAGACUGUAUGUCUAGAGUUUGUCAGAGGGGGGUAGAAUUCCAAGUGUAGCAGUGAAAUGCGUAGAGAUUUGGAGGAAUACCGAUGGCGUAGGCAGCCCCCUGGGAUAAGACUGACGCUGAGGCACGAAAGCGUGGGUAGCAAACAGG